rnacentral:rRNA from 1 species
AAGCAGCUUGCUGCUUCGCUGACGAGUGGCGGACGGGUGAGUAAUGUCUGGGAAACUGCCUGAUGGAGGGGGAUAACUACUGGAAACGGUGGCUAAUACCGCAUAACGUCGCAAGACCAAAGAGGGGGACCUUUCGGGCCUCUCACUAUCGGAUGAACCCCAGAUGGGAUUAGCUAGUAGGCGGGGUAAUGGCCCACCUAGGCGACGAUCCCUAGCUGGUCUGAGAGGAUGACCAGCCACACUGGAACUGAGACACGGUCCAGGCUCC